AACGAACGCUGGCGGCAGGCUUAACACAUGCAAGUCGAGCGCCCCGCAAGGGGAGCGGCAGACGGGUGAGUAACGCGUGGGAAUCUACCCAUCUCUACGGAAUAACGCAUGGAAACGUGUGCUAAUACCGUAUACGUCCUUCGGGAGAAAGAUUUAUCGGGGAUGGAUGAGCCCGCGUUGGAUUAGCUAGUUGGUGGGGUAAAGGCCUACCAAGGCGACGAUCCAUAGCUGGGCUGAGAGGAGGAGCAGCCACACUGGGACUGAGACACGGCCCAGACUCCGACGGGAGGCAGCAGUGCGGAAUAUUGGACAAGGGGCGCAAGCCUGAUCCAGCCAUGCCGCGGGAGUGAUGAAGGCUCUAGGGUUGUAAAGCUCUUUCACCGGUGAAGAUAAUGACGGUAACCGGAGAAGAAGCCCCGGCUAACUUCGUGCCAGCCGCCGCAGUAAAAC
rnacentral:rRNA from 1 species